AGAAGGGUCACGUGGUGGCUGGGCCGGGGAAAUGGCGGCUUCAGGAGAGAGCGGGACUUCAGGCGGCGGAGGCAGCACCGAGGAAGCAUUUAUGACCUUCUACAGUGAGGAAUAAAGAUGGCAUAUAGCAUACCAGAGAUUCAUUCCAACUAGCAUUCCAACUCUGACAGUGACACCAAGAAUGUUUUCCUGGGACUGCCUGGUGCUUGUUCUCCCUGGCAUUGUCUUCAGGUGAAACAAAUAGAGAAGAGAGACUCGGUUCUAACUUCGAAAAAUCAGAUUGAAAGACUGACCCGUCCUGGUUCCUCUUACUUCAAUUUGAACCCAUUUGAGGUUCUUCAGAUAGAUCCUGAAGUUACAGAUGAAGAAAUAAAAAAGAGGUUUCGGCAGUUAUCCAUCUUGGUGCAUCCUGACAAAAAUCAAGAUGAUGCUGACAGAGCACAAAAGGCUUUUGAAGCUGUGGACAAAGCUUACAAGUUGCUACUGGAUCAGGAGCAAAAGAAGAGGGCCCUGGAUGUAAUUCAGGCAGGAAAAGAAUACGUGGAACACACUGUGAAAGAGCGAAAAAAACAAUUAAAGAAGGAAGGAAAACCUACAAUUGUAGAGGAGGAUGAUCCUGAGCUG